rnacentral:rRNA from 1 species
AGUCGUAACAAGGUUUCCGUAGGUGAACCUGCGGAAGGAUCAUUAACAAGUCCGCUGCGUGCGCAACACCCUUGCGUAUGCACAUCCGUUCCAUGCGCAGUCCGCUGUGCAUGACAUUUCUGCAAAUCUCUGAUUGUCACACUUUAAAUAAUACAAACUUUUAACAAUGGAUCUCUAGGCUCUUGCAUCGAUGAAGAACGCAGUGAAGUGCGAAAAGUAAUGCGAUUUGCAUGCUCUGUGAGUCAUCGAAUCUUUGAACGCAUAUGGCACCUCCCGGCCCUGCCGGAGGGUAUGCCUGUUUGAGAAUCAUAUACACUCGUGUUCAUCAUCCAUUGAUGGACGACCUGGGCAUUCAGCAGUGAUCGCCGUGAAUAAUAGUGUAUUGUCAAGGGUAUCACUUGAUGUUGUUGACAACCACAACCCCCCUCAUGAUCUCAAAUCAGGCAAGGCUACCCGCUGAACUUAAGCAUAUCAGUAAGCGGAGGAAGAGAAACUAACAAGGAUUCCCCCAGUAACGGCGAGUGAAGCGGGAACAGUCCAAAUUUUAAAUCUGGGACCACCGGUCUCCGAAUUGUAGUUUACAGACGCGGGUCGUGGACAGCGCAUCGCCGUGCAAGUCCCCUGGAACGGGGCGUCGCGGAGGGUGAGAAUCCCGUGGUGCGGGGAUGCGCUGGUCGCUGGAGCCGCGUCGACGAGUCGAGUUGUUUGGGAAUGCAGCUCAAAACGGGUGGUAAAUUCCAUCCAAGACUAAAUAUUGGCAAGAGACCGAUAGCGAACAAGUACUGUGAAGGAAAGAUGAAAAGCACCUUGAAAAGGGAGUUAAAUAGUGCGUGAAAUUGUUAAGAGGGAAACGAUUGGCGCCAGUAUCGCCGCGUCGGUGGAGCAGUCGAUUCAUCGUCUGUGCAUCCGGCGCGCGAGUCAGCGGCGGCCUGCGAUUGCGCACAACCCCCGCGGAAAGAUGACGCCUCGGCGUUUUACAGUCCCGGCGGGCGCGCCACGACAGGCCGAUGAUCGGCGAUAAUCUGCGCCUCGCCGCUGUGCCAAGCACGUGCAGACAGCACGCUGAUUGCGCGUGUGCAAGACAUUGGUGGGCGCAGCACGCGGACACGCUGACGAAAUGGCGUCAAACGACC